CCAGACUCCUACGGGAGGCAGCAGUGGGGAAUAUUGCACAAUGGGGGAAACCCCGAUGCAGCGACGCCGCGUGAGUGAAGAAGUAAUUCGUUAUGUAAAGCUCUAUCAGCAGGGAAGAAAAUGACGGUACCUGAGUAAGAAGCCCCGGCUAACUACGUGCCAGCAGCCGCGGUAAUACGGAGGAUCCGAGCGUUAUCCGGAUUUAUUGGGUUUAAAGGGUGCGUAGGCGGUUUGAUAAGUUAGAGGUGAAAUGUCGGGGCUCACCCCCGGCGAGCCGUUGAAACUGGCUGUCUUGAGAUGUCGAGAGGUAUGCGGAAUGCGCAGUGUAGCGGUGAAAUGCUUAGAUAUUGCGCAGAACUCCGAUUGCGAAGGCAGCAUACCGGCGGCGAUCUGACGCUGAGGCACGAAAGCGUGGGUAUCGAACAGGAUUAGAUACCCCGGUA
rnacentral:rRNA from 1 species